GCGCACGCUGGCGGUAGGCCUAACACAUGCAAGUCGAACGGCAGCACAGUAAGAGCUUGCUCUUACGGGUGGCGAGUGGCGGACGGGUGAGGAAUACAUCGGAAUCUACUUUUUCGUGGGGGAUAACGUAGGGAAACUUACGCUAAUACCGCAUACGACCUACGGGUGAAAGCAGGGGAUCUUCGGACCUUGCGCGAUUGAAUGAGCCGAUGUCGGAUUAGCUAGUUGGCGGGGUAAAGGCCCACCAAGGCGACGAUCCGUAGCUGGUCUGAGAGGAUGAUCAGCCACACUGGAACUGAGACACGGUCCAGACUCCUACGGGAGGCAGCAGUGGGGAAUAUUGGACAAUGGGCGCAAGCCUGAUCCAGCCAUACCGCGUGGGUGAAGAAGGCCUUCGGGUUGUAAAGCCCUUUUGUUGGGAAAGAAAAGCAGCAGGUUAAUACCCCGCUGUUCUGACGGUACCCAAAGAAUAAGCACCGGCUAACUUCGUG
rnacentral:rRNA from 1 species